UAAGACAGAGGUGGCAAGCGUUGUUCGGAAUUACUGGGCUUAAAGGGCGCGUAGGCGGUGGAGUAAGUCCGGGGUGGAAGUCUAAGGCUCAACCUUAGGAUUGCCCUGGAAACUGCAUCACUUGAGUCAGCGAGGGGAUGGCGGAAUUCCCAGUGUAGCGGUGAAAUGCGUAGAUAUUGGGAGGAAGGCCGGUGGCGAAGGCGGCCAUCUGGCGCUGAACUGACGCUGAGGCGCGAAAGCGUGGGGAGCAAACAGGAUUAGAUACCCUGGUAGUCCACGCCCUAAACGGUGGGUACUAGGUGUAGGGCUCGUAAGGGUUCUGUGCCGAAGGGAAACCAUUAAGUACCCCGCCUGGGGAGUACGGCCGCAAGGUUGAAACUUAAAGGAAUUGACGG
rnacentral:rRNA from 1 species